UGUAAAAGUGUUUAAAGUCCAGAAAACAUUUUCUUGUCCUUCACUUUACUUUUAACUAAUGUAUGCAAUGUCCUCAUCUGUAGAAAAAAAAUAUAUAUAUUAUUUUAAUAUUAGAGAUAAUUCACGUGGUUGACUAGCUAUCCAACAAUUAAACUUGUUGAUAAUUUAAGUAGUUUACUAGUUCAUCUGUAUUUUUUAAACAAUGUAGAUGCUUUAAAUAGCAUGUUGACCGUAUGCAUUGCUUUUUAUUUAUUUAUUCAUCAUUUAUUAGUUUGCACAGUACUCUUGUUUUGAAAAAAGUUUUUUAAAACACUGUCUUUACAUACAACACACACAUUUAGGCUGGUGUCUUAAAAGCUGGACUUUUUUUUUUUUUUUUUUAUGAUUCUUGAGAUUGAGUCAUUCUGUCCAGUUUUGUUGUGCUCUGUCUAGUUUUGAACACAAUAACCUCUCUUUUGUAAACCGCUUCUAAGAAACUAUUUUGCUCAUCCCUAGUUGGCAUAUUCCUUGUUAAACAUGGUUUUCAAAUAGUUGCCAGCCCAGAUCUUUAACCACUAGACUGCACAACGGAGGCCACUACUGUUCACUCUUGGUUCAGUUGUAUUGUUACCCUCUAGGUCACCAGGUUCUGUAGCUGACUAUGAUGAUGAUGAUGAUGAUGGUAUUUUUUGCAUGGAAUGCUCAUUGACAGUUAUGCAGAAGUCCAUUUUCUCCUCCUCUGCCUCACUGACCCCCUUCAGCAACUCUAUUGGUCAGUUCUGGCCGGCUUUCGGCCCAGACUGCACCAGAUUGGAUUGUGUGCAUGUGUUGAUGCUCUCUGCUCCUGUGGUGCCGUUGGAGGGUUUCCUGUGUGCAUGCUCUGAAACCUUCCCCUGCUUUGAGCCGAUCUUCCUCCUAAACUCUCUCUCUCUCUCUCUUCUAAAACCUAACAUCCACGUCUCAACUGGAGGAUGAGUAACAGCCGGAAAGCGCUUGUUUGUUGGGCUGAUCCACACUCAUGAUAUGGGAAGGUUUUGCUGAAUAACAGGUUGAUCUGGUCCUCAGCUGAAUUCUAAAUAACUAUGCAUUUAGUUUACAUGUUGCACAGGUUAUUACUUGUGCCUUUUGAUAGAAAUUAGUUCAAAAUGAACCUAAAAGCUUAUAAAUUAGCAUCUGUUGAUGCUUGGUUGUUUGGCAUGGGUCAUUCUGUAAAAUGGGUUUUACAGAAAAACUCAAUAAUGGCAAUAAUACCAGACAAAGAAUUUGUUUUUAAUAGGUUCAUAAAUAUAAAGAAAUUAUAAUUUCCAAUAAACACUAUGCUUUCACUAUACUUUGCUCCUUAAUUACUCAUUAAUUAAAAUUAUUUAUAAUUUAUUAUAAAAGCAUUAAAUAUUAUUAGAAUUAUAGAAUCAUUAAUUUAAAAAAAGCUGAAAAUAAAAUAAAUAUAUUUAUUAAAUUGGACAAAUAGUUUGAAUAUUAAUGUACCUUAUAAUAACUAUAUUUACUAUUAAAUUGAAUCUUAAGUUUAAUAAAGUUAUUAAAAGCUUAAGUCAUUAAUAGAUUAGAGUGACCUGACAUGUUAACUUGUUUUUCUGGGUCAUGCUUGCACGGUAUGUGUUUACUAAAUGCACGAAUGGUUAAAAAAAAAGUGUGAUCGAAUAUACUGUACCAUAUUAUUUCAUAAGAUCAGCUGUAAUUCUGCCAUCGAUCUCGAUUAAUUAUUUCAUUUUAGUCACAGAUAUAUUGUGCACCUCUAGUCAAACAAUACAAACAACAGGCACUCAAAAGGCACAUGUUUUGCAGAAUGACCAUGACAAAUGAUGUUUAGGGCGUGUUCAUUUCUGAAAAUCAGCGCCAAAAAAACCCUCAUUCCUAAAAAAAAAAAAAAAAACCUCUGGGGCAGCGACUGAUGAUAUUAAUGACUUUACUGUUGCUUAUAUACCCUACAGUUACCUUGCACUGAUUUAAUGCAACCUUGAGGAUCCCCUCAAACCUGAACGUGCAUUUUGUUGUCAGGAUGUAGACCAUACUGUCACUGGUCACUUUUAUGACUGCCUUUUCAAGCCUUUUUCUAAAUUAUAACAAGAUAAUCGAGGUAAUUUAACAUGGAGCUGGAAGUCUCUGUUGGGUUUCAGUGAGUAAUUAAGUCUGUCGUUGGAAAUGUCAUUCGUUGUUAUUGUUUCCUGUGUUUAGAAAUGCUGUUAGCUUUAAAACCAUGACUUUUAAGUGUCAUUUUGUUAAUUACUGCAGACUAAAUUCAAAUAUUCGCCUUAUUUUUAGAACAGCAUAAUAAACCCCAUCAGUCUUUUCAGUGUUUAAUAAUUGUGCUUCAUCUUCAGAGCAAAGCGUUUGGCUAUAUUUAGCAUUGACACAUAACCUUUAAAAGUCUAUCAAACUAGUAGAGGCAUCUUUUUUUUUUAGAAGUAGAAUAAAAUCAAAUUUAAAUUGUCAGUGUGUUUUUUCAGCGUGCGAUUCGUUUCUCAUAGUGCAUGUCCAACGAGUCUUAAAUGUUGCUGCUUCUGUGUCGUUCGUACUUUUUGCAUUUUUUCUGCACCUUUUUUCCAAGAAUCUGUCUGUCAGUCUGUCUCUGUCCCACCUAACAUGACUUCUUGAAUAGCACAGCCUCACUUCCUUUGACCAGCAAAACCCUUCAUGCAAAAACUACCAGUGUCACUGUUAGUAAGAGAUGAGGGCUAUAGGCUUGGCUGAUCUAGAUGGACUCUCUCCUGUCUUGUCUGCUGUCCUGCUGUUAUGGAACUCUGAGCAGUUACUGAAGCCCAGUUACAGUAUGGACUUACCAGUACCUAGGGGUACCAGCAUGCAUUUGCUAGCCAACCUGAUUAUUAUUUUUUUUAAUCUUGAUUUUUAUAUGGCCCAUUUUGCUGAAUGAUAAUGUCAGAACUGGUUUGGAGAGGAACAUUUCAUUGGAUCAGGUCUGAAUACUCCUCGCUUUGCAAGGAAAAGCUAUAGAAGGCUUCAUUCUCUGACAGAACGUGCAUGGCUGACCAUGCAGUGAGAUCUAAACGUCUGAUACCAAAUUAAAAAUCUGGGAUUUUAUUUGUAUCUAACCUAGAAAUAAAUGAUUAGCAUUUUGAAAAAAAAAAAAAAAAAAAGUAAACACAGUUAUAACAUUUAAAUGAUUUAAAAAAUGCUUAAAA